rnacentral:rRNA from 1 species
CCUACGGGAGGCAGCAGUGGGGAAUAUUGCGCAAUGGGCGAAAGCCUGAAGCAGCGACGCCGCGUGAGGGAUGAAGGUCUUAGGAUCGUAAACCUCUGUCAGCAGGGAAGAACGGUCACUGUGCUAAUCAGCAGUUAAUUGACGGUACCUGCAAAGGAAGCACCGGCUAACUCCGUGCCCGCAGCUGCGGUAAUACGGAGGGUGCGAGCGUUAAUCGGAAUUAAUGGGAGUAAAGCGCUCGUAGGCGGUAUGUCAAGUCAAGGGGGAAAUCCCCGCGCUUAACGUGGGAACUGCCGUUGAAACUGGCAAACUGGAGUGUGUGAGAGGAUAGUGGAAUGCCAGGUGUAGGAGUGAAAUCCGUAGAUAUCUGGAGGAACAUCAGUGGCGAAGGCGACUAUCUGGCACAUAACUGACGCUGAGGAGCGAAAGCGUGGGUAGCAAACAGGAUUAGAUACCCCAGUAGUC